AUUGAACGCUGGCGGCAGGCUUAACACAUGCAAGUCGAGCGAGCGGCGGACGGGUGAGUAAUGUCUGGGAAACUGCCUUAUGGAGGGGGAUAACUACUGGAAACGGUAGCUAAUACCGCAUACCAUCAGAUGUGCCCAGGUGGGAUUAGCUAGUUGGGGGGGUAAUGGCUCACCUAGGCGACGAGCCCUCGCUGGUCUGAGAGGAUGACGGGCAACACUGGAACUGAGACACGGACCAGACUCCUACGGGGGGCAGCAGUGGGGAAUAUUGCGCAAUGGGCGCAAGCCUGAGGCAGCCAUGCCGCGUGUGUGAAGAAGGCCUUCGGGUUGUAAAGCACUUUCAGCGGGGAGGCGUUACCUGCAGAAGAAGCACCGGCUAACUCCGUGCCAGCAGCCGCGGUAAUAC
rnacentral:rRNA from 1 species